GAACUCCACUAGGGGUGCUGUAAGGCUGAGAGAGGUAUUAAACCUCAACCCUUGGAACCUGACCUAGGUAAUACUAGCGUAGGGAAGUGGAGUCAUGUCAGC
rnacentral:ncRNA from 2 species